GACGAACGCUGGCGGCGUGCUUAACACAUGCAAGUCGAACGGAAAGGCCCUGCUUUUGUGGGGUGCUCGAGUGGCGAACGGGUGAGUAACACGUGAGUAACCUGCCCUUGACUUUGGGAUAACUUCAGGAAACUGGGGCUAAUACCGGCUAGGAGCUCCUGCUGCAUGGUGGGGGUUGGAAAGUUUCGGCGGUUGGGGAUGGACUCGCGGCUUAUCAGCUUGUCGGUGGGGUAGUUGCUUACCAAGGCUUUGACGCGUAGCCGGCCUGAGAGGGUGGCCGGCCAGAUUGGGACUGGGAUACGGCCCAGACUCCUACGGGAGGCAGCAGUGGGGUAUAUUGCACAAUGGGCGGAAGCCUGAUGCAGCAACGCCGCGUGCGGGAUGACGGCCUUCGGGUUGUAGACCGCUUUCGCCUGUGACGAAGCGUGAGUGACGGUAGUGGGUAAAGAAGGACCGGCUAACUACGUG
rnacentral:rRNA from 1 species